CCUUCGGGAUUAGUGGCGGACGGGUGAGUAACACGUGGGAACGUGCCUUUUGGUUCGGAACAACUCAGGGAAACUUGAGCUAAUACCGAAUGUGCCCUUCGGGGAAAGAUUUAUCGCCAUUAGAGCGGCCCGCGCCUGAUUAGCUAGUUGGUGGGGUAAUGGCCCACCAAGGCUACGAUCAGUAGCUGGUCUGAGAGGAUGAUCAGCCACACUGGGACUGAGACACGGCCCAG
rnacentral:rRNA from 1 species